AUGGGAUAUGGGUAUAAAUGUCCCUCCGACCUGAGACCGCCAUAGUGACUUGCAAGCAACUCACUGCACUUAGGCACUGGACUACCUGAAUUUCUAAUUCAGUGAUGGAAGGUUGCUGGGUGUAGUCAAGUACUUGACUUGUCGGUGCGUAUGUCAAGAUGGGAUUGACCACUCCAGUUUAGGAGCUGUGUACAGUCGUAUUUCAAUUUAGCAAAACUUUGACCAGGGUAGUCCUAGUGAGGAGUCACAGGACUAAUUGAGUUGAGCACGAUUCGGAUGAUAUCAUCAGGGUUGACAGUUUAACCCUGAGUCGUCCUAAACACAGG
rnacentral:lncRNA from 1 species